rnacentral:tRNA from 1 species
UCUCUGAUGGCUAAGUGGUUAAAGAAUCUACCUUCCAGUGCAGAAGACAUGGGUUCGAUCCCUGAUCUGGGAA